UGGACUUCUUGGUACCUGUGCUCAGAUCUUGCAAGCACACACAGGGACAGGGCAAGGACAGUCAGCUGUGGCCUGACUUUCCUGUUAGGUCUCAGGAUACGGGGUCUUGCUCUUGCUCAGGCUGAUGUUGAACUCCUAACCUCAAAUGAUGCUCUGGCCUCAACUUCCUAAAGGGCUGGGAUUACAGACAUGAGCCACUGAGCCUGUUCUUAUUGUGGUGAUUAACUAAAAUGAUGACCGUAAAGUUUCUUGCAUAGUGCCUAGCAGAGAAGGAGCUCAGUAAAGCACUCUAGGGAUGUUGGGAGAGUUCCCCUCUGAAGACAAACACUUCCUGGUUGGCAUGUUCCACUAUGUCACCCUCUUAAAGACUUCUAGACAAGAAUUAAAGGCUCCUCGAGGACAGCAACCAUGUCAUGUCCAACUGUGUACCUGUCCCACCUGGGCAAGAGUAAGGUCUCAGCCUCUUUUUGUUCAACUGAACCAUCCUCCCCAGUAUGUGCGUUUCCAAGCAAAGUCAAGAGUUUGUAGCAUAGUUCAGCCAGGUAAGCAUCUAAAUUUGUGUGAAUUGUAUAAUGCUUAUGAUCAAUUUUAUUUUAAUCAUUUUCUCAAAGGUAAGCAACCUACACAGGAACAAGCUAGAAUUUCAUCAGCAUGUAGUUCACAUUGACAAUCUUUCUUAAGAAAUGGAUCUUUCUUCAUUAAUAUUUUUUUUCAUGAGUUGACAGUCUCUGUUUGUAUGUCUGUACCAAUAUUAGUCUUUGAUUUACUUUACAACAUAUAAUCCCUCUAAGAUUCAGUGUGUUGGCUUCAAUAAUAAUGACAUAGGAUCUAAUAGCUAAGCUAAAAUUUUAUAAAUUUGUCAUUCUUAUAAUGAGUAAAUGAUUACUUUACAAUAACAUUUCAUAUUAGGUUUCUUUAAUGACACUGAAAACACUUUAUAAACAAAGAAUUGUCAUGGCUUUAGGAGAAAAGAUCAUUUUAUCCUGGUUUUUUAGGUGAGGAAUCCAGUGCAAAGUGUUAUUAAGAAAUUCAUUCAGGGCUAUAGAGUACCAUCAGAAAAUAUAGUCAGCUCUCUGUCUCCAUGGGUGAAGCAUCUGUAGGUUCAACCAAC